rnacentral:rRNA from 1 species
UGCCAGCCGCCGCGGUAAUACGGAGGGUGCAAGCGUUGUUCGGAAUUAUUGGGCGUAAAGCGCGUGUAGGCGGUUCGUUAAGUCUGAUGUGAAAUCUCCGGGCUCAACCUGGAAACUGCAUCCGAUACUGCCUUGCUAGAGUAGUGGAGGGGCGACUGGAAUUCACGGUGUAGCAGUGAAAUGCGUAGAUAUCGUGAGGAACACUAGUGGCGAAGGCGAGUCGCUGGACACUUACUGACGCUGAGGUACGAAGGCCAGGGUAGCGAAGCGGAUUAGAUA